rnacentral:rRNA from 1 species
GGUAAUGCCGGAUGUUCCACAUGAUCGCAUGUGAUUGUGGGAAAGAUUCUAUCGGCGUGGGAUGGGGUCGCGUCCUAUCAGCUUGUUGGUGAGGUAACGGCUCACCAAGGCUUCGACGGGUAGCCGGCCUGAGAGGGCGACCGGCCACAUUGGGACUGAGAUACGGCCCAGACUCCUACGGGAGGCAGCAGUGGGGAAUAUUGCACAAUGGGCGCAAGCCUGAUGCAGCGACGCCGCGUGAGGGAUGGAGGCCUUCGGGUUGUAAACCUCUUUUGUUUGGGAGCAAGCCUUCGGGUGAGUGUACCUUUCGAAUAAGCGCCGGCUAACUACGUGCCAGCAGCCGCGGUAAUACGUAGGGCGCAAGCGUUAUCCGGAUUUAUUGGGCGUAAAGGGCUCGUAGGCGGCUCGUCGCGUCCGGUGUGAAAGUCCAUCGCUUAACGGUGGAUCUGCGCCGGGUACGGGCGGGCUGGAGUGCGGUAGGGGAGACUGGAAUUCCCGGUGUAACGGUGGAAUGUGUAGAUAUCGG